rnacentral:lncRNA from 1 species
AGGGAGAGAACAUCAACCAUGCAAAGAUUAUUUGGAGACCUUACACAAGAGAAAUUCUCCUGACGUACUGGUUGAAGAUUAGGCCAUCAACAGCAAAGAUACUCUUAGAACAUUUCUUCAGAAGCCUCAUAGACUUGCUCUUAGUGUUAACUAUUAUGACAGUUCAACUACCCCCACUCCCUGGCCAAAUCUCAGAUAACACUUGGAUAAAGCAUAUAGUGAAAUGAUGGUUUAGGAUUGCAGCUAAAAGAAAUCAGAUGCAUGGUUCUUCCUUACAUUUAUUAGCAUUAUUACAUGAGUUAAUCAAAUGAUUCUGGGAAACCUUUAUGCCCUGACCCUUUCCCAGUAGUAUAGAUGAAUGACAAUGGAACCUUUCCAGCAGUGGACUAUCACAAUGUGGUGGAUCAGGACAAAGGAACUGUCUCCAAGAGGCCAGGAAUAGCCACUGGUCUGCAUCUUUCAUAGCAGGAAUUCUGUUAGUACAUCAUCAAACUGUCCUCUCAGAUAUUUGGGCAAUAAAAUGCUUUGAGACAAAAAAUACAAAGGGUCAAGUUGAUACCCUUUUUAACACAAAGGUAGUUUUAUUUUACUAAAGAUUUAUGCUAGGAGUUCCCACCAUGGCACAGUGGUAAGGAACUCGACUAGUAUUCAUGAGGACAUGUGUUCGAUCCCUGGCCAUCAUCUAUCUUGACAUCAAUACCACACUAUCUUGACAUCUAUAACUUAUCGCUCAGUGGGUUAAGGAUCCAGCAUUGCCGUGGACAGUGGUAUAGGUCAUAGACGUGGCUUGGAUCAGGCGUUGCUGUGGCUGUGGUGCAGGCUGGCAGCUGCAGCUCUGAUUUGAUCCCUGGCAUAUCUUCAGGUAAAAUAAGAUAGAGGGAAAAAUUCAAAAUUGUAAAACUUAUACAUUCAAUGAAUUUUGUAUAAAAUCUGGCUCCAAACAAUAUCCCCAAAUUUAACUCCAUGACAAAUGCUUAAUUACCUGUUGUCAGUAAAAUUGAUAUUACUGAGGUUACACUUUGAAAUGAUGUUAUCUCUGUUGUACUUAAUUAGGGAAACAGGAGGCAAACACAUACACACAUACAUAAUUAUAUUCACAUGGCCAGUUUCUUGAGUUAUCUAAAUUAAGCAGAGUGAAAACAUGAGAUAGUCUUAUCUCUCUCCAAUCACAGUCAUCAAUAAUGCUCUAUGGAAUUUCAUUUUCACAUCACUUAAUGAAAAACUGGUCAAAUUCAAUAAUUUCAAAAAAAUUAUUUUAGUAUUUAGCCUGGUUUAAAACCUUAAUCAUCUUCCUUCCUCUGUGUUAUAUGUUCAAUCUUGAUGUGGAAUUCUUGACUGUUAAUUGUGAAGGAUGGUAGAAAGUAUAAGGUAUAGGUCAAAUGUACAAUUUGGUAAGUUUUUACACAUAUAUAUACCCAGGAAAUUACCACCCCAAUCAAGGGUGUGACUCAGAAUGUGUGAGAUUCUGUGCAUGCCCUUUCAGAGCAGAGUCUCCAUUUCCUACAGCCCCCUAGCUCUCCCAAACAGAAGUCCUACUGGCCUUCAAAGGCAUAUGUUCCAGGUACUCAUCUUCCUGGUGCAGAACCCCCAGGAUGGAGAUCUUGUUUAGUGUCUCUGCUCUUCCUACCCAUUUGUUCCAGUUCCUCUUUAUAUCUUUAAUUUUGGGAAAUCUUUCCUGCUAGUCUUCAGUCUGUUCUCCUAGAUAGCUGCUUUGUAAAUAGCUGUAAUUUUGGUGUCUUUGUGGCAGAAAGGGAGCCUAAGUUCUACCAUCUUGGCCAAACUUUUUCACCUCUCAUUUUUUUGCCAUCAUUUAUCUCGACACCAAUACCACACUAUCUUGGCAUCUAUAGUACGCAAGUCUUCCAGUCAGGUGAUAUAAGUCCUAUGAAUUUGCUGUUAUUUUUCAAAGUUUUUGAACAAACCCUAUAGUUUGUGCAUUUCCAAAUGAAUUGUAAAAUUAUGCUGAUUUCUAUAAUUAAGCCCAUUGGGAUUUUGAUUGGGAUUAUACUGAAUCUACUGCUCAACUGAGGAGAAUCAACAUCUUCAGUCUUAAUCGUAACAUCUCUAAACUCAUAAAUAAGGCAUGAUCUCUCAGUUUAGUCUUUAAUUUCAUCUAAAAUACAUAUUUCAAUUUUGAUUCUAUCAGUUUAUUUCAUUUCUGAUAAUUUUUUUUAGCAAAUAGAAAUACAAUUGAUAUUUGUAUAUUAAUCUCAUAUCAAGCAACUUUUUAAAAUCACUUAUUAGUUCUAGUAGUUCUGUAGUAGAUUCUCUAGGUUCUCUUUUUCUGGAGAACUCUGAUACAGCUACACAAGCUGACAUACAGACAUUAUACAACAAAAUGGGCAGGUAGGCCAAAUGACCAGGUCCUUACUUGAUUACACCAUAGUAUUACUUCUCAAUUUUAAUGAUAUCAUUCCCCCAAAGGACAUUUGGCAAUAUCUGGAGACAUUUUGGGUUGUCACAAAAAGAAGGGAUGCUACAGACAUAUACUAGGUAAAAGACACAGAUGAUACUAAACUUCCUACACUACACAGGAUAUCUCUCCCACAACAAAUAAUUACCCAGCCCAAGAUGUUAAUACUGCUGAGAUUUAGAAACACUGCCCUGAGUUGAAGUCCAUCACUUGAGAAACUCUGAUCAUACAUAGAGCAUUUAAUCAUUAAUGCCUCUGUGUUAAUUAUGACUAAACCACCAAGGACACUAGUGAUAUCAAGAAACUUUUCAACAUCAAAGAGGUUUAAAUCAACAAAUAAAAAUAGUACAAGAAGCAAAUAACACUCAAAGUCUAUGAAAAUGCUUUCAAAUUUGAAUAGGACACACUUCACUCAAUUUGGAAUUAAAUCCAGGCAACCCUCAAUUGGUGUGAGAUUAGGAUAAAAAUAUUUUCAGAUCAGUAAAGUUUUCUGUACCCUAUCUCAGUAAUCUACUGAAGGGUGUGCUUCAUAAAAGCAAAGGAGAAAGAAUAACGUGUGGGAUCCACAUGUGAAGGCUAGCAGGCAGAUAGUUCAGACUGAGGAGGGAAGAUGGAGU